GCCAAUAAAGCUGUCGGCAGGUGGAUCUCUUUGAAAAGCGAUUGUUUUAGUAUGAAUUAUUCUGCGAGACUUAUUCCUCAAGCAUCUCUCCAGCACACUCCACACUCGAAUUCGCUCCGCCGUUUUUGUUGACCAGUAUGGGUAAGAUCUCAGUAUCGCUGGUCCUCUUGUGUUUGAUUGUUUCAGUGUUCUUGAUCUGUACUGACCAAGGAGUAGAGGCAGCUGCGCCACUACCACGAUAUGGAGGAAGAGAAGAGUUGAUUCCUUCACGACGAAAAAUUUGCGAAGUUGCUCGUUCCCUGAACUGCCAGACAGAUGACGAGGGAAGGGAAAUGGAGUUGAUCGGCGGCCGGAACUGAUCAUGACUAAUACCAUUGAACAAAUCCAGACCUGUAAAACACAUUCUGUGAAGGACCACGAGAUGUCCUCAACUGAGGAGUUUAGCGGUUAAAUGAAUGUAGAUAAACUUAAAUUAUGAAGCUGAUAAACUAUGAAUAUCGCCAAUAAAACAAAGCUUAUAAUUACUAGAA